rnacentral:rRNA from 1 species
GGUUUACCUGUGUGACUGCGUACCUUUUGUAUAAUGGGUCAGCGACUUAUAUUCUGUAGCAAGGUUAACCGUAUAGGGGAGCCGUAGGGAAACCGAGUCUUAACCGGGCGUUAAGUUGCAGGGUAUAGACCCGAAACCCGGUGAUCUAGCCAUGGGCAGGUUGAAGGUUGGGUAACACUAACUGGAGGACCGAACCGACUAAUGUUGAAAAAUUAGCGGAUGACCUGUGGCUGGGGGUGAAAGGCCAAUCAAACCGGGAGAUAGCUGGUUCUCCCCGAAAGCUAUUUAGGUAGCGCCUCGUGAAUUCAUCUCCGGGGGUAGAGCACUGUUUCGGCUAGGGGGCCAUCCCGGCUUACCAACCCGAUGCAAACUGCGAAUACCGGAGAAUGUUAUCACGGGAGACACACGGCGGGUGCUAACGUCCGUCGUGAAGAGGGAAACAACCCAGACCGCCAGCUAAGGUCCCAAAGUCAUGGUUAAGUGGGAAACGAUGUGGGAAGGCCCAGACAGCCAGGAUGUUGGCUUAGAAGCAGCCAUCAUUUAAAGAAAGCGUAAUAGCUCACUGGUCGAGUCGGCCUGCGCGGAAGAUGUAACGGGGCUAAACCAUGCACCGAAGCUGCGGCAGCGAACGUAUCACCCAAGACAACUUUACGGAGUUGACGAUUGACGGAGCGAAGCGACGUCAAAGCGUUCAUUAAAGUCGAGUUGGCUUAGGGAUACGUUCGUUGGGUAGGGGAGCGUUCUGUAAGCCUGUGAAGGUGUGUCGUGAGGCAUGCUGGAGGUAUCAGAAGUGCGAAUGCUGACAUAAGUAACGAUAAAGCGGGUGAAAAGCCCGCUCGCCGGAAGACCAAGGGUUCCUGUCCAACGUUAAUCGGGGCAGGGUGAGUCGACCCCUAAGGCGAGGCCGAAAGGCGUAGUCGAUGGGAAACGGGUUAAUAUUCCCGUACUUGGUGUUACUGCGAAGGGGGGACGGAGAAGGCUAUGUUGGCCGGGCGACGGUUGUCCCGGUUUAAGCGUGUAGGUGUGUGUUCCAGGUAAAUCCGGUUCACUUUAACACUGAGGCGUGACGACGAGGCACUACGGUGCUGAAGCAACAAAUGCCCUGCUUCCAGGAAAAGCCUCUAAGCAUCAGGUAACACGAAAUCGUACCCCAAACCGACACAGGUGGUCAGGUAGAGAAUACCAAGGCGCUUGAGAGAACUCGGGUGAAGGAACUAGGCAAAAUGGUGCCGUAACUUCGGGAGAAGGCACGCUGACACGUAGGUGAAGUGAUUUACUCAUGGAGCUGAAGUCAGUCGAAGAUACCAGCUGGCUGCAACUGUUUAUUAAAAACACAGCACUGUGCAAACACGAAAGUGGACGUAUACGGUGUGACGCCUGCCCGGUGCCGGAA